UACGGGGGGAGCAAGCGUUGUUCGGAUUUACUGGGCGUAAAGGGCGCGUAGGCGGCUUGACAAGUCACUUGUGAAAUCUCCGGGCUUAACUCGGAACGGCCAAGUGAAACUGUCAUGCUAGAGUGCAGAAGGGGCAAUCGGAAUUCUUGGUGUAGCGGUGAAAUGCGUAGAUAUCAAGAGGAACACCUGAGGUGAAGACGGGUUGCUGGGCUGACACUGACGCUGAGGCGCGAAGCCAGGGGAGCAAACGGG
rnacentral:rRNA from 1 species